AGCGAACGCUGGCGGCAGGCCUAACACAUGCAAGUCGAACGGAUCCUUCGGGAUUAGUGGCGGACGGGUGAGUAACACGUGGGAACGUGCCCUUUGGUUCGGAACAACUCCGGGAAACUUGAGCUAAUACCGGAUGUGCCCUUCGGGGGAAAGAUUUAUCGCCAUUGGAGCGGCCCGCGUCUGAUUAGCUAGUUGGUGAGGUAAAGGCUCACCAAGGCGACGAUCAGUAGCUGGUCUGAGAGGAUGAUCAGCCACAUUGGGACUGGGACACGGCCCACACUCCUACGGGAGGCAGCAGUGGGGAAUCUUGCGCAAUGGGUGAAAGCCUGACGCAGCCAUGCCGCGUGAAUGAUGAAGGUCUUAGGAUUGUAAAAUUCUUUCCCCGGGGACGAUAAUGACGGUACCCGGAGAAGAAGCCCCGGCUACUUCGUGCCAGCCGCCGCCGUAACAC
rnacentral:rRNA from 1 species